rnacentral:rRNA from 1 species
ACGGGAGGCAGCAGUGGGGAAUAUUGCACAAUGGGGGGAAACCCUGAUGCAGCGACGCCGCGUGAGUGAAGAAGUAUUUCGGUAUGUAAAGCUCUAUCAGCAGGGAAGAAAAUGACGGUACCUGACUAAGAAGCCCCGGCUAACUACGUGCCAGCAGCCGCGGUAAUACGUAGGGGGCAAGCGUUAUCGGGAUUUACUGGGUGUAAAGGGAGCGUAGACGGCGAGGCAAGUCUGAAGUGAAAGCUCGGGGCUCAACCCCGGAACUGCUUUGGAAACUGUUUUGCUAGAGUGCAGGAGAGGCAAGUGGAAUUCCUAGUGUAGCGGUGAAAUGCUUAGAUAUUAGGAGGAACACCAGUGGCGAAGGCGGCUUGCUGGACUGUAACUGACGUUGAGGCUCGAAAGCGUGGGGAGCAAACAGGAUUAGAUACCCUGGUA